UUCUGGUCGACCAUUCCUCUAUC
rnacentral:siRNA from 1 species